rnacentral:rRNA from 1 species
CCCUUAGAUGUUCUGGGCCGCACACGCGCUACACUGAAGGAGGCAGCGUGUACUCCUGGAUCGAAAGAUUUGGGUAACCCGCGAAUCUCCUUCGUGCUAGGGAUUGAGGUUUGCAAUUAUCCUUCAUGAACGAGGAAUUCCCAGUAAGUGCAAGUCAUAAGCUUGCGCUGACUACGUCCCUGCCCUUUGUACACACCGCCCGUCGCUACUACCGAUUGAAUGAUUUAGUGAGGACUUCGGACUGGGACCGAUGCGGCUUUCGGGCUGCGUCGGUAUUCUGGAAAGAUGUCCAAACUGUAUCAUUUAGAGGAAGUAAAAGUCGUAACA